UCCACCCAUAACUGCAAGUCGCUUUGGAUAAAAGCGUCUGCUAAAUGGCAUAUA
rfam:Salmo salar isolate Sally breed double haploid chromosome ssa01, whole genome shotgun sequence.